GACGAACCGUGCGAACGUUGUUCGGAAUCACUGGGCUUAAAGGGCGCGUAGGCGGGCCCUCAAGUCAGGGGUGAAAGCCCACGGCCCAACCGUGGAAGUGCCUCUGAUACUGGGGGUCUUGAGGGGGAUAGGGGCGUGCGGAACUUGGGGUGGAGCGGUGAAAUGCGUAGAUAUCCCAAGGAACACCGGUGGCGAAGGCGGCACGCUGGGUCCCUGCUGACGCUGAGGCGCGAAAGCCAGGGGAGCGAACGGG
rnacentral:rRNA from 1 species